UACGUAGGGUGCAAGCGUUAAUCGGAAUUACUGGGCGUAAAGCGUGCGCAGGCGGUGAUGUAAGACAGUUGUGAAAUCCCCGGGCUCAACCUGGGAACUGCAUCUGUGACUGCAUCGCUGGAGUGCGGCAGAGGGGGAUGGAAUUCCGCGUGUAGCAGUGAAAUGCGUAGAUAUGCGGAGGAACACCGAUGGCGAAGGCAAUCCCCUGGGCCUGCACUGACGCUCAUGCACGAAGGCGUGGGGAGCAAACAGG
rnacentral:rRNA from 1 species